UCAUUGAAUCUAUCGUGCCCACACCGCGAAAAUACUUAUGCCCCUCUGGAGUAAGCAGGCUGCAUUGUCUGCCCUUCAGUUGCGCAGGUCAGGGGCUGGCUCCUUUUGGUGUCAGUUGACUUGACUGGGCGGGUCCAACACCAGUCGGAUUCACCUUGCCUUUGGGCAAGGGGUUCUGCCGGCUGUGAGGGGUGGCGGUUAACUCACAUUAAGCAAUCAAUUCUGAAGACAGAUCUAUUGGCUGGCGCUGCUGGCUGUAGGCUGAAAAACUAAAGACAACUCUCAACAACGGAUAUCUUGGCUCCCGUAACGAUGAAGAACGCAGCGAAAUGCGAUACGUAGUGUGAAUUGCAGAAUUCCGUGAACCAUCGAAUCUUUGAACGCAAAUUGCGCUCGAGGCUUCGGCCAAGAGCAUGUCUGCCUCAGCGUCGGCUACUACCCUCAACUAAGUUUCCUAUCUUCAUAGGGGAUGCCAGUUGGAUUUGACCGUCCGGUUUGCCUUUCAGGUUGCCGGUCAGUUGAAAUACAUUCACGCUCUGGGGGCUGCUUUCCUCGAAAGGCUACUUUCGAGGGGAGGCGAGUUCCGAAUUGGUAGGUGACCUUUGCCGGUUGCAUGCCUUCGUUGCCCGCUAAGUUUCCCAGUGGUCGUUGUGCAGGACGCCUUUUGGCUUUCGACC
rnacentral:rRNA from 1 species